rnacentral:lncRNA from 1 species
AUACCAGAAGAGAAAGACAAUUAGCAUUUGUGGACUACUGUGCCAGGGGAACACGUAUUCCUGUUUAAUCCUUAUAAUAAACAACACUUUGAGGUAGAUAAUCUUACCCUCAUUUUACAAAAGAGAAGCCUGAGGCCCAGAGAAGUCCAGUAACAAUCUUUAGACUCUAGUUUGCCUGUCUUUUAAAAACCUUACUUUUUUCACUAUACCACAUUUUCUUCAAAGUAAAAUUUCUCAUCAGCAGCAUAAUUGCUGUGCUUCAAAGAAAAAAAAAUGCCUUUACUGGAAUUUCACCACACCAGUGUAUAGGGAGAGUUACUUACAUAUGGUCUCUGUGUUAAAAUAAGUUUCAUUAACUACACUGAUCAAUGAAUUAUCAGCUACAUACAAGCAAAUGAGAUACGAUUCUGUUUUUUCAUGUAUGCCCCAGAGCCAACUAGAGACUAAAAUAUAUUAAGUGCUCAAUAAAAUGACCUCACUGAAUGAACAAACCCUGAAUUAUUUGAACCAAUGAAGAUAGAAUAAUGGUUUCCCCAAGGAUAUCCACUUCUUAAUCCCUAAAACCUGUAAAUAUGAUAUGUUACAUGACCAGGGAAAAUUCAGGAUGCAGAGGGAAUUAAGGUUGCUAAUCAGCUGACAUUAAACUAGGGAGAUUAUCCAGGAGUGAGCUCUCUGCAAUGGCCCUCUUCAGUUUUACUUCUGUAGCUGCCCAUGCUUGUGUUCCUUUUCAGAAAGACAAUAAUGGAAAAGCAUGUAAGCUGCCAGCACCACAGCACCACCGUCGAAGCUCCCUUUCUUCAAAUUGGAGUGCUUGUCAUAAUACCUGUAGUAACCUCUCUGAACGCUCCAACAGUGCCUUCUUGUGUGAGAUCACACGUUAAUAUUUAGUUUGGCAGUUCUGCUAGUUUGACAUCCAGGAGUUUCUUCUCCUUCACUGGUACAGCCGACUCCAUCUUGGGGUCCUGGUCUGAUAAAAACUUUUAAAAUGAGGUUUCAGGCUGGGCGCAGUGGCUCAUGCCUAUAAAUCCCAACACUUUGGGCGACUGAGGCAGGAGGAUUACUUGAGGCCAGGAGUUCAAGACCAGCCUGGUUAACAUAGCAAGACCCCCAUCUCUACAAAAAAUAAGAAAAAUUAGCCAGGCCAUGGUGGCAUGUCCAGGAGUUUGAGGCUGGAGUGCAAUGGCGUGAUCUCGGCUUACUGCAACCUCCGCCUCCCGGGUUCAAGCAAUUCUCCUGCCUCAGCUUCCCAAGCAGCUAGGAUUACAAGCAUGUGCCACCACGCCUGGCUAAUUUUGUAUUUUUAGUAGAGAUGGGGUUUCUCCAUGUUUGUCAGGCUGCUCUUGAACUCCCGACCUCAGGUGAUCCGCCCGUCUCGGCCUCCCAAAGUGCUGGGAUUACAGGUGUGAGCCACCACACCCGGCCAGGUUAAAAUAUUAACCUGCUCUUACUAUGUUGCCUAGGCUGCAGACUAGCUCCCAUGCUCAAGGGAUCCUACCGCUGCCUCAGCCUCCUCGGUAGCCGGGACUACUGUUGGGCAGGAACUUGUUUUUUCUAAGAUAAAAUUUACUGAAGUAUGGUCAGGGUUGACUUUACAUUUGACGAGUUAUGGUAAAUGCUAUGUAAUCAUAAGAGUUGGUUUUUUUUUUUUCCCCACAGAGUCUUGCUCUGUCACCCAGGUUGCAGAGCAGUGGAGCAAUCUCAACUCACUGCAACCUCUGCCUCCCGGGUUCAAGUGAUUCUCCCGCCUCAGCCUCCUGAGUAGCUAGGACUACAGGUGUGUGUCACCA